rnacentral:rRNA from 1 species
CGGAUUGCAGGCUGCAACUCGCCUGCAUGAAGUUGGAAUUGCUAGUAAUCGCGGAUCAGCAUGCCGCGGUGAAUACGUUCCCGGGCCUUGUACACACCGCCCGUCACACCAUGGGAGCCGGUAAUACCCGAAGUCAGUAGCCUAACCGCAAGGGGGGCGCUGCCGAAGGUAGGAUUGGCGACUGGGGUGAAGUCGUAACAAGGUAGC